CUACGGACUUGAUUGUAUUGAGCCUUGGUAUGGAAACCUGCUAAGUGGUAACUUCCAAAUUCAGAGAAACCCUGGAAUUAAAAAAGGGUAAUCCUGAGCCAAAUCCGUGUUUUGAGAAAACAAGGGGUUCUAGUUUCCAAGACCCCUCAUAUAAUCUCCAGUGGAGGGUCUAAG
rnacentral:ribozyme from 1 species